UCAUGAAUUACAUACUAGCUAGCUUUUAAAACUUAUGAUUUAUUAUAUAUAAAUAUAUGGACGUUGCAUGACAUGUUAGAUCUCAUCUAUCCUAUUAUAUAUUAAAUUUUAAAAUGUUAAUUAUCGAGUGUUGUAUAUAAAAAACUAAUAAGUAUAGAAGUAUUACUCAUAAAAUAAACGGUACUAGAUAUCUUUCUCUCUCUCUCAAAAAAAAAAAGCCAACACAUUCCAUACACAAACACUCGAUAUUUGAUACCAGAAUAUUCCUCUUUGGCCUAAAUUAGUGUAAAAUUAAUGCCCAAAUUUAGAAUAUCAAUCAAUAUUUUUCAAAUUUUGUGAUAUAUAAUUAAAAAUACUCACGAUAUGAAGUAACUUUUUAACUUGCUACAUGUUAAAAUGACAUCUUUAUUUUUUAUUUAUCAACGGUUAAAUUUUUUUUUACUUUUAUAAAACAAAGUAUCAAACUAUUUCUCUUAUUUUACAGAAAUAAACUAAGUUACAAAUAUAAAGCAAUUAUGUUUCGAACUUAUAAAAUAAACUUAGAUAAAAAUAUAAAUUAACUAAGUUUCGAAUUUGAGAACUCGUGUGCUAACCAUUAAGUUAUUUUGCCACCUGCGCUAUAUACAGUUGGUAGGUGUUGGCAUCAUUAUCUUCACAUGAAGAAUACAUAUAUAUAUAGGCUGGAAUGUUUCUAAUAGUACCAAGUCAAUAGUGCUAAUAAGUUUUCAGACCUUGGAUAAAGAAAUGUACGGUUAGGAUGAUAAUGAUCCUCUAAAACUGAGUGGGUGAUUGGUUGAAUAAUAUGAUUUAACGAACGAAAAUGCUCAAAAAGAUAAAUCUAAUAGUGGAAUUAAAACUUGGUAGCACCAAAUACUUAGUGCCAUUACAAGCACUCCAGCCGAACUCUCUUUCUCUCUCUACAUAUAGUGAUGC
rnacentral:lncRNA from 1 species